rnacentral:sRNA from 1 species
UGACAGAGAGUCGAGGGAUUGUGGAUAGCCUGCAGAAGUUUUCCUCGCUCCCUGCUUACCUCCCCACGAACUUGCACAUCUCCAAUGCAGAGGAGUCCUUUUUCCUUAAAGAAGCCAACCAAGACCUCACAAGGAACUCCAGUCUGCAGGCCCGGGUGGAGCCAUUCUUCAUCUACCGAGCCAGGACACCCCCUAUUAUCAACGCCAGCUAUGGCCCAUUUUCAGUGGAGAAGAUAAUCCCCCGGGAGCUUCUGUUGACAUCUACAGCCUUUGGAAACUUGGACAAAUUUCCCUUCAACUGGAAAUUGAAAUCCCACAUCCUUGACAGCUCCAUCUACUCCAACAGACCCAAAGUGCAGACCUUGUUUUAUGUCACUGGCAUGGGCUGGGAUGACAGCGACCUUACGGAAGAUCUACCCUGUGUCAAGAUGUUUGCUUUCCCUGAGGCCAGGGAAGUGGCAGCCAGCUGUCGGCUGCAAGGGGCCCCAGGGCUGUGUGUGGCUGAGCUGGAGCUGCUGCCCGAGUGGUUCAGCUCAGGCCUGGACCUGGAGCCAGAGGAGGAGAUCCCAGCCCUGCUCGGGGGCACCGCGAUGGAGCUCUUCUUCACGCUCUACCCAGCUGACAAGGCUGGCCAGUGUCCUCUGGAGGAGGAAGGCAAGUGGGAGAACAAUAUCCACUCGGGCCUGGAGAGCCCCCAGCAAGCGUUUCCAGCCCGAGAGCGGAUUGGGAGUGUGGUGGUCUACCCAACCCAAGAUGAUCUGAAGUGGUCCCUGCUGAGCUUGGACGAGAAUGUGGUCAUCUCGGUACCUCUGAAUCUAGUCCGGGAUGGGGACACGGCCACCUUUUUGGUCUCUCUGACCAGUAGCUCUGUGGCAGACCAGUUCACUCUUAGAAUUAACGCGGCAGCAGGUGUGAAGAUAACGGCAGUGAGAGUCAGCAGUGAGGACCAAUGGGCAGUCCAGGAGGAAAUUGAUAAUGGCAGCACUCAGACAUCGGCCACCCUCACCUGCAUGGGCCAUCGCCCGGACACGCAGAGCAGGGUAAAUGGAUCCUUCUAUGAGAUCUUGCAAGUGGACUUUGGAAUUGAUAAUAGCAGUGACCUGGCUGGGGCCCAGCAGAUUACCUGGCAGGUGGAGUACCCGAUUGAGGACUCCAUGAGUGAGCUGGUCAUCUCCGAGAUCUUCGUCAGCCAGACAACCUUCGUGGGCAUCGUCCCUCUUGCCAUGGACACCGAGGUUUUGAACACCGCCAUUCUCACUGGAAAACCUGUUUCAGUUCCUGUCAAAGUCGUGGGGGUCCAGGAGGAUGGUUCUGUGGUCGAUGUGUCUGAGUCUGUGGAAUGCAAGUCUGCCGAUGAAGACGUCAUUAAGGUAAGGGGGGAUUUAUCUACAGCUGUCCUAAGUGUUCAGAGCUUUUUGUCGUUCCUUCUUUUGUCUCCAAGGUCUUGUUCUGACUGAGCAUCCCAUGCUCUAAAGGGCUGGAGGCCAGAAUGACCUCACGAAGGAGGAAACAGCUGACCGCAGAGACUCCCUGGAAUCAGCAGGCGGCUGCAGCAGGUGAUGCUGCUUCCCUCUCCCUGGAAAGGGGAAUCCCUGACCCUUAGUCUCCAGCAGAAAGAAUUUAUUCUCCUCCCCUUCUUGUCUCCCCAAUUCUUCUCUCUAUCUUUCCUCGUAAGACAAUAUUUUCCUAACUUUAGUAAUCCAAAUAAGACCUUCUCAUUUUUUGCAAACUCACUGUGCCUAAUAAUAUAAUUUACUCAAUGUAUUUUCUUUAAAUGCCUUGCUUCUUUGGGGUGGCCAGUUAGCUCAGUGGGUUAGAGUGUGGUGCUAAUAAAUGCAUUACUUUUUCAAACUUAAAAACUAAUUUAGCUUCAUUAUAAGACAAUAAAGUCCAUGAGCUUGGUGUAUUACAUUUUUUGUUAAUAUGCAUUAAAAUAAAUAACUAUUCAAAUAAAAUUAAGUUCACCCAUGUGCCACCUAACUGAACUUGAAUAUAACCAGUGGGAUACAGUUUAGGAAAUGGGACAUUUCUGCUAGAUUCUUCACUCAAAUUAGCUAUGUUUCUGACUCCAAAUUCUGCUAGGAACCAGACAAUAUUUUUUUCAUGCUCUCUGAAGGGGUCUUUUUGAACCACCAAAUUUAAUAUUUCUGCCUAUUUUUUCUUAGCACAUUGGUUGCCAUUGCUUUUGCAGCAGAGACCUCAGGGAGAAAGGAUUUGAAUUUUUAGAAUGAUUGAUCCUUCCUCCUUUAAAUUGUUAAGAGAGCCCCAAAGUCCAAUCUAUUCAGCUAUUUUAGAAAAAUACAAUAACUCAGAGUUCUGCCCUUCCUCACAUUCUACCAACUCUUGUUUAGAGGUUACAUGAAACUUGGUCUCAGUAUUGAAAACUUCGUGGUAGACAGGAAAACCUUUAGGGGUUUCCCUAUGGUAGAAAAGGUCUGGGAGGGGUUGAUUUCUUCUUGUUGUGACCUACAGGAUGCUGUGUCUUAAGCAAGAGACAGUUUCGGAAAAAAGACCGAUGUAUUCGUGAGGUCUAAUUAACAAAGAAAUUAAUUCCUAGGAAACUCAAGUUUGGCAUAGACUCUUUCCUGGACUUGGAAUGCUCAUUGUCCUUAGAUAUGGAAGGUGGACUGGCUUAAAACCUGCACACAUAGCCCUGCCUGGGGUUCCUGGUGGUCCUUGUAUUCCGUAGGCAGGUUUGAUUAAAUAUAUGGCCUUAAAUAUUCAGAGUUUAGAAAGAGCUGAGCCAAGUCACAGGAGAUUAUCUGCACCAAUGACAAAUAUGGAUGAUGAACCGCUGUUGGUUGCUAUUGACAAUGCGCAAGUUUUACACUAUUUUUACUAUUCCCAUGUCAUUCUAGAAAGGAGACACUGAUAAGAGAUGGUAUCUGUAUGCUUACGUCAUAAUGGGCUCAAACAAGUGAUUCAGUCUGUAGUUUCCUAAGCCUUUUGUUCUGACUUAAGAGCCUGCUAUGAAGCCCCAUGGGGUGGAAUCCUCCUUCUCUUGCCCUGAAGAGCUCUACUCUAGAGGGGCAGGUCCAAGUUCACAGAUCCCGUUAUUGCCAUAUACCUGGUUUUCUCCACUCCACACAAAUGUACUAAAAGUAUCCUCUGCUCAUCCUCAUAGACGUUGUUUUGGAAGAUGAUACCUUUUUGCUCAGCUGUCACCUAUAUAGCCUCAGGAGGAUGGGGAUUCGUCUAACAAAUUAUUGCCCAGUCUUCAGAGGAACAAAGUGAAACCUGCAGAUCACAAGCUCAGGGCUGUAUUCACACUUUUUAAGGGGAUUCCAGGACUGUUGCAAAUUUGGGGGCUUGUGUCAAUUGAGGCGAUUUAAUUAAAUGGCUGUGAUGCAUUUACUAUGGCUUCAGUGUCAAUGUUUGUAGUAAAUUUUACUAUAACUCCAAGUUGAAUGGAGUUAUCCACAGAGCUAUGACCUUGGCAUCAUCCCAGGGACAUCCUCAAAUACAUGGCACAUUCAUUAGCACCCUUUGGAGAGAUCCUCUGAGUUUGUGGAGUUGUCACGCAGUUAUACUUCAGAGUACAGAAAACACUGAAUGAUUUUUAGGGAGAGUCUUGCAGGGCUCACCAAAGAUCUUUGUGCCUUGGAACCAUGAGUUAGAUAAGGGAAAAACGUGAAUUUAGAAAGAUGUAAGUUAUGGUAAUAUCCAAACAAAUGAACUUGUUUGGCCUGUGAUUGUAUGACUUUUGGGGGACAGAAUCAGAGGACAUACAUGAUUUUGAAAAGCUGGAACCUUGGCCUAAUCUGGCAAGAUUAAAAGAGAUAAAUGUAAAAUUUCAAGUUGACAACUAUAGUAGUCCUUCCUUAUGUGUGGUUUCACUUUCCGUGGUUUCAUUUCACUGUGGUCAAUCACAGUCCAAAAAUGUUAAAUGAAAAUUUUCAGAAAGAAGCAAUUCAUGUUUUAAAUUGUGUACUGUUCUGAGUAUCGUGAAGAAAUCUUGAGUCUUCCUGCUCCAUCCCACCUGGGUUGUAACUCAUGACUUUGUCUGGCAUAUCCAUGCUGUAGACACCACCCACCUCUGAGUCAUUUAGUAGCUGCCUGGGUGAUCAAAUAGACUGUCGCGGUAUCACAGUGCUUGUGUUCAAGUCGCCCUUAUGUUAUUUACAAAUGACCCCAAAGUACAAGAGUAGUGAUGCUGGCAAUUCGGCUAGACCAACAAGAAGUCAUAAAGUGCUUCUUUUAAGUGAAAAGGUGAGAGUUCUUGACUUAAUAAGGAAGGAAAAAGAUCAUAUGCUGGAGUUACUAAGAUCUACAGUCAGAGCGAAUCUUCUAUCCAUGAAAUCGUGAUGAAGGAAAAAACAUUCAUGGUAGUUUUGCUGUCACAUCUCAAAUGUGGGGAGGGUCUGCAUAGUUAAGGCCACAGUGUGUGAUAAAUUCUUCAUUAAGAUGUGAAAAGACAUUAAAUUUAGGUGGAAGACAUGAACAGAAACUUGUUCUGCUGGAUAACAAUCUGAUUCAGUUCUAUCUGUGGUUUCAGGCAUCCACUGGGGGGUCUUAGAAUAUAUUACCCAUGGAUGGGAGGAGACUGGGAGACUGCUGUACUUUUAGGUUAAAAAAAAAAAAAAAGUAGAGGAUUGUGUGUGUGUGUGUGUGUGUGUGUGUGCGCACACACACAAGAAGCCUUAGCGUUUUUAUCAGUAUUGGGAUCCAGUGAGUCAACUGUUUGAUAAGGCUGCUACAGGUUGAUUUUUAUUAGCAUGAAUGGGUGUGUGACUCAGAGCAGAGGUCACAGGCAGGCAGUCUGCAGACCAGAUCUGACCCAGAAGUGUGUGGGGGGUGUGGGGAGGGUCUGCAUAGUUUAAAAAUUCUUACUUAAUUUGUUGCCCCCAUGUAAAAAUUGGCAAGUUUGCACAGAAAUCUGGAUUUACAGUUUCUUAUGAAAAAUCACAGGACCAGGUGGUCCUGGGUCUCCAUGAUUUCCUGUGAACCUCGUCUGGAGUUGAAGAGAGGAUGCUCCUCUGCAUAAAACCUGUGUCCUCCAGCUCACUGUAGUCUCCACCACUCCCUUUUGUCUUUCACAUGGAGGUUGAAGGAUAUUUGUCAUUUCUGGUCACACUUGUGCUCCUAGUUUUUGAUAGUGGAUUUCAGAGGAAGGUGAGAUAUUUUUUGUACUCCAGUCUCUAAAAAUAAAUAAGCAACAAAUGAUAGACUUCAUUCUCUCACUCUGAUGGAGAAUUCUGUAUCUUUCUAGGCCAUAAGAAGAACAAUAAAAAAUUGGGUUGUGCUCUGCCAAAAAGUGUCUGAGAGGCUGAGGACUCUUGAAAUCAAAUCACAGGAGAAAUGAUUGAAGGAAGUGUGAGUGUUAAGCCUAUUGAUGAGAAGAAAAGGCUCAGGGGUGAGGUGGAGAGGGAGACAUGACAGCUUUUUGUAAGUCUUUCAAGGGCCAUCAUGUGGAAGAUGGAGUAGCUUUGUGCUUUUUAGAUUCCAAGAAUGGAAGUUGAAAGGUACCAUUUUUAGCUCAAUAUAAAGAAAAAGACUGCAGAGGUAGUGAGUUCUUUGGUUGAGCUUCCAGACAUGUGAUGUUGCUAAAGAUCCUGACUCCACCUUCCUCACCGUUUGACCUUGGGCAAAUUACUUACCAUCUCUGAGCCUAGUUUCCUUAUCUAUAAAAUGGGGAUGGUAAUGAUACAGUGGAAACGUACUUUUCUAGAGAUUUGUUCUAAAGUCACAGCAAACGGCAGAACUAACAAUAACCAAACUACUCCCUAAUCCUUGAAAAUCCCCAGUCUCACUGGGUCAUCCAGGCUGGAGUGCAGUGGCGUGAUCUCGGCUUACUGCAGC